UACGAAGGGGGCUAGCGUUGCUCGGAAUGACUGGGCGUAAAGGGCGCGUAGGCGGUUUGUACAGUCAGGUGUGAAAUUCCCGGGCUCAACCUGGGGGCUGCACUUGAUACGUAUGGACUGGAGUGGGGAAGAGGGUCGUGGAAUUCCCAGUGUAGAGGUGAAAUUCGUAGAUAUUGGGAAGAACACCGAUGGCGAAGGCAGCCAUCUGGACCGACACUGACGCUGAGGCGCGAAAGCGUGGGGAGCGAACAGG
rnacentral:rRNA from 1 species